UGGGGAAUUUUGGACAAUGGGGGAAACCCUGAUCCAGCCAUGCCGCGUGAGGGAUGAAGGCCUUCGGGUUGUAAACCUCUUUCAGACGGAACGAAACGGUUCAGGUUAAUAGUCUGAAUUAAUGACGGUACCGUAAGAAGAAGCACCGGCUAACUACGUGCCAGCAGCCGCGGUAAUACGUAGGGUGCGAGCGUUAAUCGGAAUUACUGGGCGUAAAGCGUGCGUAGGCGGCUUCGCAAGUCAGGUGUGAAAGCCCUGGGCUCAACCUAGGAAUUGCGCUUGAAACUACGGAGCUGGAGUAUGGCAGAGGGAGGUGGAAUUCCACGUGUAGCGGUGAAAUGCGUAGAGAUGUGGAGGAACACCGAUGGCGAAGGCAGCCUCCUGGGCCAAUACUGACGCUCAUGCACGAAAGCGUGGGGAGCAAACAGGAUUAGAUACCCCCGCCCUGAGCGGGCUGGCAAGGCGCAU
rnacentral:rRNA from 1 species